AUGGUGGCAAGUGAGCGAGGAUCGGGUCGUCGCAUCCUUAGUGGUGCGCUACAUCGGCGCCCGAAUGUAGUGGAAAAUGAGCAAGGGUCUUCGCAUUUGACUCAACGAGUGCGAAGGGUAAGGAAGCUAGCCGAGCCUAGGAGGAUUCGCUUAGGUAGCUGGAACAUAGGGUCUCUGACAGGGAAGCUUCGGGAGCUAGUUGAUGCAGCGGUGAGGAGAGGUGUUGAUAUCCUUUGCGUCCAAGAAACCAAAUGGAGAGGACAGAAGGCAAAAGAGGUGGAGGAUACCGGCUUCAAGCUAUGGUACACGGUGACGACUGCAAACAGAAAUGGCGUUGGCAUCUUGAUCAACAAGAGCCUCAAGUAUGGAGUGGUAGACGUCAAGAGACGUGGAGACCGGAUUAUCCUGGUCAAGCUGGUAGUUGAGGACUUGGUUCUCAAUGUUAUCAGCGCGUAUGCCCCGCAAGUAGGCCACAAUGAGAACACCAAGAGGGAGUUCUGGGAAGGCCUGGAAGACAUGGUUAGGAGUGUACCGAUUGGUGAGAAGCUCUUCAUAGGAGGAGACCUCAAUGGCCACGUGGGUACAUCUAACACAGGUUUUGAAGGGGCGCAUGGGGGCUUUGGCUAUGGCAUCAGGAAUCGAGAAGGAGAAGAUGUCUUAAGCUUUGCUCUAGCCUACAACAUGAUUGUAGCUAACACCCUCUUUAGAAAGAGAGAAUCACAUCUGGUGACUUUUAGUAGUGGCCAACACUCUAGCCAGAUUGAUUUCAUCCUCUCGAGAAGAGAAGAUAGGCCUGCGUGCCUAGACUGUAAGGUGAUACCUGGAGAGAGUGUUGUACCUCAGCAUAAGUUGGUGGUCGCUGACUUCCGCUUUCGGAUUCGUGUCCAGCGGGAUAAGCAUGCCAAAGUCGCUAGAAAAAAGUGGUGGAAGCUCAAGGGGGAGGUAGCUCAGGCGUUCAAGGAGAGGGGCAUUAAGGAGGGCCCUUGGGAGGAAGGAGGGGAUGCGGACAAUGUGUGGAUGAAAAUGGCGACUUGCAUUCGUAAGGUGGCCUCGGAGGAGUUUGGAGUGUCCAGGGGAAGGAGAAGCGAAGAUAAGGAUACCUGGUGGUGGAAUAAUGAUGUCCAGAAGGCGAUUAAUGAGAAGAAAGAUUGCUUCAGACGCCUAUACCUGGAUAGGAGUGCAGAGAACAUAGAGAAGUACAAGAUGACGAAGAAGGCUGCAAAGCGAGCUGUUGGUGAAGCAAGGGGUCAGGCAUAUGAGGACCUCUGCCAAUGCUUAGGCACGAAGGAAGGCGAAAGGGACAUCUAUAAGAUGGCCAAGAUCCGAGAGAGGAAGACGAGGGAUAUUGGCCAAGUCAAAUACAUCAAGGACGGAGCAGGCCAACUCUUGGUGAAGGACGAGGAGAUUAAGCAUAGAUGGCGGGAGUACUUCGACAAGCUGUUCAAUGAGGAGAAUGAGAGUUCUACCAUUGAACUGGACGACUCCUUUGAUGAGACCAGCAUGCGUUUUGUGCGGCGAAUCCAGGAGUCUGAGGUCAAGGAGGCUUUAAAAAGGAUGAAAGGAGGCAAGGCGAUGGGCCCUGAUUGUAUCCCCAUUGAGGUGUGGAAAGGUCUCGGGGACAUAGCGAUAGUAUGGCUAACCAAGCUUUUCAACCUUAUUUUUUGGGCAAACAAGAUGCAGAAUUGA
rnacentral:rRNA from 1 species